AAAAAAGCCCUAUACCCGUUAAGGCAUCAUGGCCUGUACCCGAAACCGACACAGGUGGGGUGGUAGAGAAUACCGAGGGGCGCGAGGUAACUCUCUCUAAGGAACUCGGCAAAAUGGCCCCGUAACUUCGGGAGAAGGGGUGCCACCGCAAGGUGGUCGCAGUGAAGAGGCCCAGGCGACUGUUUACCAAAAACACAGGUCUCCGCUAAGUCGCAAGACGAUGUAUGGGGGCUGACGCCUGCCCAGUGCCGGAAGGUUAAGGAAGCUGGUCAGCGCAAGCGAAGCUAGCGACUGAAGCCCCGGUGAACGGCGGCCGUAACAAUAACGGUCCUAAGGUAGCGAAAUUCCUUGUCGGGUAAGUUCCGACCCGCACGAAAGGCGUAACGAUCUGGGCGCUGUCUCGGAGAGAGGCUCGGCGAAAUAGAAUUGUCUGUGAAGAUGCGGACUACGUGCACCCGGACAGAAAGACCCUAUGAAGCUUUACUGUAGCUUGGUACUGUGCCCGGGCUCGCAAUGCGCAGGAUAGGUGGGAGGCUUUGAUCAUCGGCUUGCGGGUCGAUGUGAGCCAACGGUGAGAUACCACUCUUUGCGAGCUAGGGUUCUAACGGCCACCCGUCAUCCGGGGGCCGGACAGUACCUGGUGGGCAGUUUGACUGGGGCGGUCGCCUCCUAAAAGGUAACGGAGGCGCGCAAAGGUUUGCUCAGGCUGGUUGGAAAUCAGCCGACGAGUGUAAAAGCAGAAGCAAGCUUGACUGUGAGACCAACAAGUCGAACAGGGAGGAAACUCGGCUUUAGUGAUCCGACGGUUCUGAGUGGAAGGGCCGUCGCUCAACGGAUAAAAGUUACUCUAAGGAUAACAGGCUGAUCUCCCCCAAGAGUUCACAUCGACGGGGAGGUUUGGCACCUCGAUGUCGGCUCAUCGCAACCUGGGGCUGAAGUCGGUCCCAAGGGUUGGGCUGUUCGCCCAUUAAAGCGGUACGCGAGCUGGGUUCAGAACGUCGUGAGACAGUUCGGUCCAUAUCCGGUGCACGCGCAGGAAUAUUGAGAGGAUUUCUCCCUAGUACGAGAGGACCGGGAGGAACGCACCUCUGGUGUACCAGUUAUCGUGCCAACGGUAAACGCUGGGUAGCCAUGUGCGGAGUGGAUACCGCUGAAAGCAUCUAAGUGGGAAGCCCACCUCAAGAUGAGUAUUCUGGUGUAAGGUCACGGGAAGACGACCCGUAAAUAGGCACGAGGUGGAAGUGCAGAGAUGUAUGAAGCCGAAGUGUACUAAUAGACCGUCGGCUUGAC
rnacentral:rRNA from 1 species